ACCCUUCUCCAGCCUCGUUUAAAAGUUUUAAAGUUCACUCCGGCCACCAACGAGCUCUGUCCGAUCCCUUCUUCUCGUGGGGAUCAAUUCAAGUAAAUUGUUGUUGUUGUUGUAGGGUUUUUGGCAUUGGAAGCAAUGCUGCCACUUUCUCUGCUUAAGACUGCUCAAGGGCAUCCCAUGUUGGUGGAGCUAAAAAAUGGGGAAACAUAUAAUGGACACCUUGUCAAUUGUGACACUUGGAUGAAUAUCCAUCUUCGUGAAGUCAUCUGCACAUCAAAGGAUGGAGACAGAUUUUGGAGAAUGCCAGAAUGUUAUAUUCGUGGUAAUACAAUCAAGUAUCUACGAGUUCCAGAUGAGGUGAUUGAUAAGGUUCAAGAAGAAACAAAAACCCGUUCAGAUAGAAAGCCACCAGGCGUUGGGCGUGGAAGAGGAAGAGGUAGAGAUGACAGUGCUGCUGGGAGACAGGGAAAACCAAUUGGGCGUGGCAUGGAUGAUGGAGCUGCCAAAGGUGCAGGCAGGGGCAAGGGAGGACCAUCUGGCAGGUCUGGUGGUGGUAAAGGUGGUGGGCGUGGACGUGGCUUGUAAUUCUUUAGCUAGCUGCAGAAUCAACUUCCUUGGAGCAGAGUUGCCGAUUUUAUAUGGCAUUUUAUAGUCUUUGUUAAGGUACAGGAUUGAAGAAAAAUGACUGCUUUCUUGUAAAAGGACCGAGGUGUAAGGAAACUGUUUCCGUCCAAUCAACAAGCAAGCAAUGUAUUUUAUAGUUCCAUACAUUAUUUUGUUGGUACUUCUUUUGGCUGAACGAAAUGUAUCACAUGGUUAGACUAUGCAACAGUGCAAGCCUGCAACUUUCCUCUUGCUGGAUUCUGCAGAAUCUGGUGAGGUUUUUGCUU